GGGAGGAAAACGGUGCCUGGUGCAGGGGCGGCCUCCCUGGCAGGAGCCUGGACUUUCGCUGAGGCCCAGGUGGGAGUAGCUUCUCCAGGAUCCACCCACACAUGCUGGGAGGACGGGUGAGGGGGGGCAGUGGAAAUGAGAAGUGGUGGACACAGCCUGCAUGGAGAAUGCGAGCAAGAUUCAUUCAUUCGCUUCGAAACUAUUUAUGGAGCCUCUCUGCUGUUGUCUGGGCUGAGGAUAUGGAAAAGAACAAAAUGGAUAAGAUUCCUGCCUUAGGGGAAACGACACUUACUGAGCGCUCGCCAUGUGCCAGGCCCCAUUCUAGGAGCACACGUGUAACUUGUUUAAUCCUUCAGCCAACGAGAGAAAGACACAGCGAGAGAGGGAACACAAACGGGG